rnacentral:misc_RNA from 1 species
AGCCGGACCGAAAGCCGCACUUUCCGGACUACUUGCCAAGGCCCCGCGCAUACUCGCAUUAGACGUGCUCAUCUCGUGUUCUCCGCAUAAACCUUCGCAUAUUCCAAAAAAUGGUAAGUUCUUAACUUAGUAAGAGAUGUUGAAACACUUUGAAAAAUUUUGGAGUAUGAGACACAGCCGGUAUCGCUCAUAGGUCUAACGACCAAGGAGUGUUGAAUAUUGUAUUCCGAUACCAAUGUACUAUACUGUCAAAAGCGAAAAUUAUGUUUCAAUUAAGUACGUAAAAUAUUGAAAAGCUGCGAAAAGUAGCCGCGCCUAGAAUGAUAAAUUGAUUUUAGGUAUUAAGAAAGUCAAUACCUGAAUAAAUUGAAGCGAGAAUAAAUUUUUAAACGAGAGUAUGAAUACUCUUCUCAUGACGUCAUAGUGUACAUAAUAGAAUUCUUAUUCAGUCUCUUUUUCUCAAAACAGGCCGAUCAACUCACCGAAGAACAAAUUGCCGAAUUCAAAGAGGCUUUCUCCCUCUUCGAUAAGGAUGGUGAUGGAACGAUCACGACGAAGGAAUUGGGAACGGUUAUGAGAUCUCUCGGACAAAAUCCGACUGAAGCCGAACUGCAGGAUAUGAUAAACGAAGUUGAUGCUGAUGGAAACGGCACUAUCGACUUCCCUGAAUUCCUGACUAUGAUGGCCAGAAAGAUGAAAGAUACUGAUAGUGAGGAAGAAAUCCGAGAGGCUUUCAGGGUCUUCGAUAAGGAUGGCAAUGGCUUCAUCUCAGCUGCCGAAUUACGUCAUGUUAUGACCAACUUGGGUGAGAAGCUAACCGACGAGGAGGUAGAUGAAAUGAUCCGUGAGGCAGAUAUUGACGGUGAUGGUCAAGUAAACUAUGAAGAAUUUGUAAAUAUGAUGAUGUCGAAAUAAGCUGAAGAGGACAAUAUUGAAAUAAGCCAUUCCUAUUUUCAAAUAAUUCGUAACGAUGAUGACGUCCAAGUAAGCGGGGCGCUGCACUCUCAUUCUUUGUAGAUCUGUCUCCUGCAUUGCGGAAGAAAAGCGUUUUAUUUUUAACGUACAAUGUCUGCAACGUAUGGAGUCGUUCGUCGGAGCUACAGCGUCCUUAUUCGUUGGAUCUACGACGAAGCUUUCGCGCCAUUAUAUAAUAGUUCUAUUUCUUUUUUGUAAGAAAAACGUUAAACUAAUCAUUGCUCCGCUUUUCUUUCAUGUAUGAAUUAUAAUCUAUAUCUUUGUCUGUAAAAUAUCACAUACUUUCCAACAAGAUUUUCAUGUUGAUUGUUC